AUGCCUCACGGCCAUGGGCUGGCAGCUGUACCCAUGCCGGCACUCAUGGCAGAGGCCAUGCGUGGGACACCCGGUGUGCCAAAGCACAGCCGGAAAGGAGCACGCGUGAGCUCCCAUGCGCAAUGGCGCACUGGGAUAGGGUUCUGUCCAUGCCAUGCCCACAGCCGUGCCCCUCACACUGAUCUGCCUCCUGUUGUGCGCGCAGGUGAAGCCAUGGCAGAGAAGAACACCUGUGAAAAGCUGAUGGAAGACAACGCUGAGUCAGGCGCACUGCUGCAGGAGCUCAUGGAGGUGUGUGACCCACCUGCAGAAACCCCGCAGGGCAGAGCUGCUGGGCCACGCAGCCAGGGCGCCGCAGGGCUUGCUGUCCUGCUCCACCCUGGCCUUGCUGUGCGCUGGCAAUGGGCUGCAAACACCCUUUCCCACCCUGCAUCCAUGCAACUGGUCCCAAUUGCCUUGCAGUAUAAGAAGAGGUCUGCAGAGCUGGCAGCUGUUCUCCGAGAGCAGACCAAAGUCCGUGAGGUAUGCAGGGUGGGAGGGAGAGAAUGGAGAGCAGCACAUUGAUCGGGGAAAGCCCCCUGCCAGCAGACACAGGACGGGCUCUUGACCGGACCCUUUCCUUCUCCAGGCACUGACGGAGGACGUGGAGAUGGAGAUGAAAAAACUCCAGAAGGCACAACGGAGGGUCGAAAAGCGCACUGCCCCGUAAGUAGCAGCACAG
rnacentral:lncRNA from 7 species